rnacentral:rRNA from 1 species
AUUGAACGCUGGCGGCAGGCCUAACACAUGCAAGUCGAGCGGAGCGGCGGACGGGUGAGUAAUGUCUGGGAAACUGCCGAUGAGGGGGGGAUAACGUCCGGACACGGGCGCUAAUCCCGCAUACUCUCAGAUGAGCCUAGGUCGGUUUAGCUAGUUGGUGGGGUAAAGGCCUACCAAGGCGACGAUCCGUAACUGGUCUGAGAGGAUGAUCAGUCACACUGGAACUGAGACACGGUCCAGACUCCUACGGGAGGCAGCAGUGGGGAAUAUUGGACAAUGGGCGAAAGCCUGAUCCAGCCAUGCCGCGGGUGUGAAGAAGGUCUUCGGAUUGUAAAGCACUUUAAGUUGGGAGGCGUUACCAACAGAAUAAGCACCGGCGAACUUCGUGCCAGCAGCCGCGGUAAUUC